AGGGUUUGAUUCUGGCUCAGGACGAACGCUGGCGGCGUGCUUAACACAUGCAAGUCGAGCGGGGAUAUCUGGAGUGCUUGCACACUGGAUAUUCCAGCGGCGGACGGGUGAGUAACGCGUGAACAAUCUGUCCCAUACAGGGGGAUAACAGAUGGAAACAUCUGCUAAUACCGCAUAAGACCACGAUGCCACAUGGCGACGGGGUAAAAGGAUUUAUCCGGUAUGGGGUGAGUUCGCGUCCGAUUAGCUAGUUGGUGAGGUAACGGCCCACCAAGGCGACGAUCGGUAGCCGACCUGAGAGGGUGAUCGGCCACACUGGAACUGAGAGACGGUCCAG
rnacentral:rRNA from 1 species